GUGUCACCGGCUCGAACCCUCGGUACGCAGAAAAUGGCUGGUCGCAGGUCCGAGCUCGGAGUCUCUCCUCACAGUGCGGCAGGAUAGAAACGCGGCUAGCUUUCGCUCGAGCUUUUCUACAGGAACGAAUUAAACGCUGUUAGCGACACGGGUUCGAGCCACUACAUCGACUCGCAGCAUCAAAAGAAUGGGCACAGAUUGGAAGCAUGAAACCUGCUAGGGACAUUUCAUGUCAAAGAUGUUGGCACCCUGGGUCUUGACACCAUCAGUAACAGAUCUUGGGGUCUCAGCAUCAGAAGGCAGAAAAUGAUGUCAGAGAUUAAUGACCUUUCCCAGUGGCAGUGAUGAGGAUGGAGAUGGCUGGCUCCCACAGAAAAGAAAAUGUUCUAUUUGCAUGGUUUUUACAAGUGGAUUUUGAAGAAACGUUUCAGUGAAUUCUCAGGUAGUUUUAAACUGAUUAGUACGCACUGAGUGACGUCAUUGCUCCUUCUUUUGCAAGCUAACAACCAAAGUUAGCAUAUUGUUGUUUCAAACAUCAGAGGAUAUUGUUCAGGACCUUAGCCAUCCAAGGGGACUGAUGUUAACUCUAUCCGAGUCAAUCAAAGGUAGGUUUUAUGGACAAGGUUAUAAAUGAGAGGACCUUAAUGGAAUUUUAGCCUGAAAACCAAAUCCCCUUCCAUCUCAGGAGUAUCUCACGAAUAGGGUGGUACUGAUGGUGGAGACAAAGCAAGAAGGGAGUACCACACCAUGCCUCUGAUUCAGAAUUCUGUUAAUUCAAUCAAGCUGUCAGAAAUGGUGUCACCAUGCCUGAAUCUACACCAGACAAUAUAUGAAUAGCUUCACAACUGACACCCGGCAUAAGGACUAACGCCAUUUAAUCAGAAAUGAAUGAACCAAUAACCAAAGUGAUAUAUUUUAAUCCUAACCUCUUAUCCAGUGAUUACCCUGUGAAGGACCUUCACCGACAAUCCCCUCUAAAGAAUAGUAGUAAUAAAAUAUAUGAUGAAAGUUUCAGUCACAUUACCAAAGAGGAGGUGAAGAUACAGGACUUUGCAAAUGUUACUGGGUCUGAGACGGUUGAAAAGACCAGAGACUGUGAGGACAAAAAAAGGACAGAACACCGCCUGGUGUACAACAGUGCAAACUGUACAAUUCCGGUCCCAUUUUAUGAAAGACAGAAGGGAUUUGAUGUAGCAAUGCCUGAAGCUGUUACUAGUGUUAAAGA